GGCUUGUGGUUUAGUGGUAUAAUACUCCCUUAGCAUGGGAGUGGUCCGGGGUUCGAGUAAGUUCCCCUCACCAAGUUG